AAACCCUGAUGCUGGGAAAGACUGAAGGCAGGAGGAGAAGAGGAUGACAGAGGAUGAGAUGGUUGGAUGGCAUCACCGACUCAAUGGACAUGAGUUUGAGCAAGCUCCAAGAGUUGGUGAUGGACAGGGAAGCCUGGCGUGCUGUAGUCCAUGGGGUUGCAAAGAGUCGGACACAACUGAGCAACUGAACUGAACUGAGCUGGGUGCUGUGAUCUCUGCUUUUUACAGGUGGGAAGGUGUUGCUGAGUGAGUUGAAUGGCUGGCUUCCAGGUCCUGUGGCCAGGUGUCUGAUUCAAGCUUCUUUCUGCUAGUUUUUUUUUUUUUUCUGUAAGAUGGAGUGGGAUUGACAGUAUAAUCUAAAAGUCCAGUGUCCCAGCACAAGGCUAAGAGGAUUCAGAUAUGACUUAGGCUAGGCCUGGCAUGCUGCAGUCCAUGGGGUCGCAAAGAGUCAGACAUGACUGAGCGACCUAACUGAACUGAACUGAGGUUUGGGCACUGAGGCCACCAGAAAUGUGUUUGUCUGAUGAACUAAGGAAUCUGCGGGGAGAGAAGUCACCUGAGGAAGAUGGACUCAGGCAGAUGCACUCAGCCUGACACUGAGCAUGAUACGGGGAAGGGGUCAUCGAGACCACAGCAGGCCCGGGCACAGCUGGGGGCCUCAGCGGUGACUGAGCCAAGGCAAGAGGACCUGAGAAUCAUGAACUUCUGGUCCAUAGUAAACCUCUGCUUUCUCCACCAACUCCACUUACCACCAACUCUUGAGUGAAAUCUGAUGGUCCUUGAAGUUGCCCUUCUAACUGACCCAGGAGACUGGAGCCCACCUUUGGAGGCUGAGACGGGAGCACCAAGCCCCAAGGAGGCCUUCUGUGGAGAUGCUGAAGAAAAGUGUUUCCUUCCCGACCAUCUGCAAGGAAAUUACCCAUGAAACCAACUCUAACCAUGCUUUUAAAAACUCCUUCCAUCCAAGUCAUAAUAUUUUUGGAGUGAGAUUUACUUUACAAUAUUUUAGUAACCACAGUGUUGCAACUAGGAGUUCUUUGUAGCUGGUCUCAGGGGCUUUCCUGGGACGUUGCACUUAAUGAGGUUUAUAAUUCAAUAAAACUACAUCUGCAUCUUUAAUUAUGCCUAAC
ensembl:lncRNA